ACUAACUGCUCCUGCAUGAAGUGAUAGAUGAUCAAAUAUUGUGGCAUAUCACAAGAUAUAGGCUAUUCUCACUAGCACAAUCAUCAAGUACAACUGGUUUCCCGCUACUCAUCAGUUUCUAUGGACACUAAUCAUCAUCACAGUUGUUCGUCAUUUAGUUCAUCACCUUGUGUAUUUUAGUUCCUCACGUUCAC